GACAGAGGGGGCAAGCGUUGCUCGGAUUCACUGGGCGUAAAGGGUGCGUAGGUGGCUUGGUAAGUUUGAUGUGAAAUCUCCGGGCUUAACCCGGAAAUGGCAUUGAAUACUAUUGAGCUGGAGGUUUGGAGGGGGGACUGGAAUUCUCGGUGUAGCAGUGAAAUGCGUAGAUAUCAGGAGGAACACCGGUGGUGUAGACGGCUUUCUGGACCGUAACUGACGCUGAGACACGAAAGCGUGGGUAGCAAACAGG
rnacentral:rRNA from 1 species